AUUAUUUUAAGCUAUAUAUUGGUAGUAAUUAAUAAUUUAUGAAAUCAUAAGAUUUUGGCGGUAUUUUAAGCUUAUUAGAGGAAUUUGCUCUGUAAUGGAUAGGACGCCUAAAUCUUACUUAAUUUGGUUUUUAAAGUCAGUUUGUAUACCACUAUAUUUAAUUAUAUUGAAUAAUUAUAUUUAAGAUUUUUUUAUAAAAAAUAUAUUAAGUCAAGGUGCAAUUGAUAAUUAUGAAUGAAGUGAAUUACAUUAAUUUUAAUUUUAUUAUUAAUUGAAAAAUUUUUUAGGAUUUAAUAGUAAAAUAUUAAUAUAAUGAAUAUUUGAAUAGAGCUCUAAAAU
rnacentral:rRNA from 1 species